rnacentral:rRNA from 1 species
CAGCAGCCGCGGUAAAACGUAGGUGGCAAGCGUUGUCCGGAUUUAUUGGGCGUAAAGCGAGCGCGGGCGGUCAAUUAAGUCUGAUGUGAAAGCCCCCGGCUCAACCGGGGAGGGUCAUUGGAAACUGGUUGACUUGAGUGCAGAAGAGGAGAGUGGAAUUCCAUGUGUAGCGGUGAAAUGCGUAGAUAUAUGGAGGAACACCAGUGGCGAAGGCGACUCUCUGGUCUGUAACUGACGCUGAGGCUCGAAAGCGUGGGUAGCAAACAGGAUUAGAUACCCGAGUAGUCCCUGUCUCUUAUAC